GUGGUUUUAAUUUUUUUUUAAGCUAACAUAACCCGUUGUCGCUAUAACUUCUGACAUACCUUUUACACUUCGGAUGAGCACUCUAUAGUGAGCACAUCGUGUACAUUAGAUCAACCCCUACCGUAUAAUAGCCUGUAAAUCACACAGAAAAUGUGAAUUGCACUAGAUAAGUCUUAUGCAACAGACUCGACUUAAAAGACAUUAAGAAGGGAUCGAGAUCAGAAGACGACCUUCCAAAUUAACGGAGUCAUCCGAAGGACAUGUAAUGGCUUUUUAUUGGCGUUUUGUGUAGGCACGAGAUGAAAAACUAUUUUAGUGAAAAGAAUUAAAGGAAG
rnacentral:lncRNA from 1 species